rnacentral:rRNA from 1 species
GGCUACCAUGCAGUCGAGGGGCAGCAUUUCAGUUUGCUUGCAAACUGGAGAUGGCGACCGGCGCACGGGUGAGUAACACGCUAUCCAACCUGCCGAUAACUCGGGGAUAGCCUUUCGAAAGAAAGAUUAAUACCCGAUGGNAUAAUCAGACCGCAUGGUCUUNUUAUUAAAGAAUUUCGGUUAUCGAUGGGGAUGCGUUCCAUUAGGCAGUUGGUGAGGUAACGGCUCACCAAACCUUCGAUGGAUAGGGGUUCUGAGAGGAAGGUCCCCCACAUUGGAACUGAGACACGGUCCAAACUCNUACGGGAGGCAGCAGUGAGGAAUAUUGGUCAAUGGGCGCAGGCCUGAACCAGCCAAGUAGCGUGAAGGAUGACUGCCCUAUGGGUUGUAAACUUCUUUUAUAUGGGAAUAAAGUUUUCCACGUGUGGAAUUUUGUAUGUACCAUAUGAAUAAGGAUCGGCUAACUCCGUGCCAGCAGCCGCGGUAAUACGGAGGAUCCGAGCGUUAUCCGGAUUUAUUGGGUUUAAAGGGAGCGUAGGUGGACAGUUAAGUCAGUUGUGAAAAGUUUGCGGCUCAACCGUAAAAUUGCAGUUGAUACUGGCUGUCUUGAGUACAGUAGAGGUGGGCGGAAUUCGUGGUGUAGCGGUGAAAUGCUUAGAUAUCACGAAGAACUCCGAUUGCGAAGGCAGCUCACUGGACUGCAACUGACACUGAUGCUCGAAAGUGUGGGUAUCAAACAGGAUUAGAUACCCUGGUAGUCCACACAGUAAACGAUGAAUACUCGCUGUUUGCGAUAUACAGUAAGCGGCCAAGCGAAAGCAUUAAGUAUUCCACCUGGGGAGUACGCCGGCAACGGUGAAACUCAAAGGAAUUGACGGGGGCCCGCACAAGCGGAGGAACAUGUGGUUUAAUUCGAUGAUACGCGAGGAACCUUACCCGGGCUUAAAUUGCAUUUGAAUAUUUUGGAAACAGUAUAGCCGCAAGGCAAAUGUGAAGGUGCUGCAUGGUUGUCGUCAGCUCGGGCCGUGAGGUGUCGGCUUAAGUGCCAUAACGAGCCCAACCCUUAUCUUUAGUUACUAACAGGUCAUGCUGAGGACUCUAGAGAGACUGCCGUCGUAAGAUGUGAGGAAGGUGGGGAUGACGUCAAAUCAGCACGGCCCUUACGUCCGGGGCUACACACGUGUUACAAUGGGGGGUACAGAAGGCAGCUACCUGGUGACAGGAUGCUAAUCCCAAAAGCCUCUCUCAGUUCGGAUCGAAGUCUGCAACCCGACUUCGUGAAGCUGGAUUCGCUAGUAAUCGCGCAUCAGCCAUGGCGCGGUGAAUACGUUCCCGGGCCUUGUACACACCGCCCGUCAAGCCAUGAAAGCCGGGGGUACCUGAAGUACGUAACCGCAAGGAGCUCCUAGGAAAC